rnacentral:rRNA from 1 species
UACGAAGGGGGCUAGCGUUGCUCGGAAUCACUGGGCGUAAAGGGUGCGUAGGCGGGUCUUUAAGUCAGGGGUGAAAGCCUGGAGCUCAACUCCAGAACUGCCCUUGAUACUGGCAAUCUCGAGUCCGGAAGAGGUAAGUGGAACUCCGAGUGUAGAGGUGAAAUUCGUAGAUAUUCGGAAGAACACCAGUGGCGAAGGCGGCUUACUGGUCCGGUACUGACGCUGAGGUGCGAAAGCGUGGGGAGCAAACAGG